GCCACCCUAGCUCAACUGGUAGAGCAUCCGAUUUGUAAUCGGAAGGUUGUCGGUUCGAUUCCGAUGGGUGGCUCCA
rnacentral:tRNA from 1 species